rnacentral:tRNA from 1 species
GGGUAUAGCUCAGUGGUAGAGCUCAUGCUUAGCAUGCACAAGGUCCUGAGUUCAAUCCUCACUACCUCCG